GGCCUGUUAGCUCAGUUGGUUAGAGCAUAGUGCUCCUAACAACAAGGUUGUUGGUUCGAUCCCCACAUGGGCCA